rnacentral:rRNA from 1 species
UACGUAGGGUGCAAGCGUUAAUCGGAAUUACUGGGCGUAAAGGGCGCGUAGGCGGCCGCCUAAGUCAGACGUGAAAUCCCUCGGCUCAACCGGGGAACUGCGUCUGAUACUGGGUGGCUUGAAUCCGGGAGAGGAAUGCGGAAUUCCAGGUGUAGCGGUGAAAUGCGUAGAUAUCUGGAGGAACACCGGUGGCGAAGGCGGCAUUCUGGACCGGCAUUGACGCUGAGGCGCGAAAGCCAGGGGAGCAAACGGG